CUGCAGUGAUGAGUGCUGAGGUGGCUGAUCUGGUAUUGCUUUUCCUCCGGGGAGAGCUCUGACCAGGGAAUGAUCUCAACUUAAUCUUCUCUCUGAGCAG